GGGGUCGGUUAAAGGCCCUGGGAAAGUAUCUACCCUUCGGGGUCGACUUAUAGCCCAGGGUGUCAUGCGACCACCCGGGACUGAGGAACGCGCUUCGGCUCGGAUGUUGGCGUAAUGGUUGUCAGCGACCCGUCUUGAAACACGGACCAAGGAGUCUAACAUCUAUGCGAGUGUUAGGGUGUCAAACCCUUACGCGGAAUGAAAGUGAACGGAGGUAGGAAGCCGUAUGGCCGCACUAUCGACCGAUCCUGAAGUUUACGGAUGGAUUUGAGUAAGAGCAUAGCUGUUGGGACCCGAAAGAUGGUGAACUAUGCGUGAAUAGGGUGAAGCCAGAGGAAACUCUGGUGGAGGCUCGCAGCGGUUCUGACGUGCAAAUCGAUCGUCAAAUUUGCGUAUAGGGGCGAAAGACUAAUCGAACCAUUGUAACCAAAACACAGCUACGAGGUGGUUAAGAGUCACCCUUCCAAAGGGGUGGCUAGUCACACUUCCCGUGGCGACACGACCAAAUUGCGGGGACUUCCUAAAGACCUUACCACCAAGCACGACGUCGAAAGACGGGUGUGGCCGAGCUAAUAGCCCUGGGUAUGGUAACAGCGUAAGGUAUGCGCGCCUGGAGACGGGCGUUAAAUGGAUGAUCCGCAGCCAAGUCCUACGGUCGACCUGGUCGACUACGGAUGCAGUUCACAGACUAGAUGGUGGUGGACUCUGGUGUCUCACGGGACGCCGGGGUUUAAGGUAUAGUCGGGCCCCCGGGGAAACCCGGGCAUACGCCUAAGUCUGUGGUGAUGGAAAGCCCUGUGUCUCCUGUCGUCUGUCUCGUCACGAGGCAGGCCGGGGGGGAGAACACGGGGUCACCCGGACCCGAAGCGUGUGGCCACCGGCC
rnacentral:rRNA from 1 species